CACAAGCGGUGGAACAUGUGGUUUAAUUCGACGCAAAGCGAAAAACCUCACCAAGGUUUGACAUACCAAUCGUAUCCCUAAGAAACUAGGGAGUCAGUUCGGCUGGAUUGGAGACAGGUGCUGCAUGGCUGUCGUCAGCUCGUGUUGUGAAAUGUUGGGUUAAGUCCCGCAACGAGCGCAACCCUUAUCCUUUGUUGCCAGCGGUCCGGCCGGGAACUCAAAGGAGACUGCCAGUGAUAAACUGGAGGAAGGUGGGAUGACGUCAAGUCAUCAUGGCCCUUACGACCAGGGCUACACACGUGCUACAAUGGCGCAUACAAAGAGAAGCGACCUCGCGAGAGCAAGCGGACCUCAUAAAGUGCGUCGUAGUCCGGAUUGGAGUCUGCAACUCGACUCCAUGAAGUCGGAAUCGCUAGUAAUCGUGGAUCAGAAUGCCACGGUGAAUACGUUCCCGGGCCUU
rnacentral:rRNA from 1 species